rnacentral:lncRNA from 1 species
UUUAGUAGUUUAAAUAAAUGGUUCAGUUAGAUAAUCCUCUGAUUGCUUGAAUGUUGUGAACUGGUUUUAGUUGUGGAUGUUUUCGUUAUUUAUGCUUGUGAUUGUGGAUCUAAGAUUGGAGUUUAUGGAUUCAUGGUUCUAGUUUUAUGGUUUUUGGUCCUUGGAUUUGCGUAUUUUAUGGAUUUAUACAUCGUGGAUUUCUACCCCUCAAGGUAGCUGGUUUUCAAAAUAGAGUUUCCGUGUGGAAAACAGUUUUCAAAAGAUUUUCGAAUGGUUUUCAUGAAUGAAUGAAUUAGAUUUUGAAAACAAAGCUUCCGGGUGGGGAGCACUUUUAAAUAGGAUGAUUGUUGUACU